rnacentral:rRNA from 1 species
UCGUAGGGUUAGUCGGGUCCUAAGUCGAGUCCGAAAGGGGUAGACGAUGGCAAAUAGGUUAAUAUUCCUAUACCAAUUUAUGAGCGUGAUGUGGGGACGCAUAGAGUUAAUCGAGCUCACUGAUGGAAUAGUGGGUCGAAGGAUGUAGGUUGUUGAACAGGCAAAUCCGUUCAACAUUCGACCGAGAUCUUACAGGCCGAACAAAAUCUUCGGAUAGCGUUUGGAAUCGAUGAUACUGUCGUGCCAAGAAAAGCCACUAAGCUUAUCAUAAAUUGCCCGUACCGUAAACCGACACAGGUAGGUGGGAUGAGUAUUCUAAGGCGCGUGGAAGAACCCUGGUUAAGGAACUCUGCAAACUAGCACCGUAAGUUCGCGAGAAGGUGUGCCUACUAACGUAUAGAGACUUGCUCUCGAAAGCGUUUGAGGUUGCAACAAAGAGUCCCUCCCGA